GAAAUUCCCCUUGGAUGGGAAGCAGAUUUUACUUGUUUGUGAUUCUUUUCCAUAUGUUGGCUUCUUUAUACGCCCAGCCAAGACUCGGUGAGUUUGGUAUCCCCGAUUCAGUGGUUUGUACAAGAUUUCAUAUAGGACUGGCUAUUGGCUUGUCUUCCGGCAUCACAUAUGGCCUACAAGAAGCUCGGGGAGCUCAUGAUUGG